AGAGUACUCCCUCCGUCCAGAAAUACUUGUCGUAAAAAAUGGAUAAAAUGGAUGUAUCUAGAACUAAAAUAUGUCUAGAUACAUCCAUCUCUUCGACAAGUAUUUGCGGACGGAGGGAGUACCAU
rnacentral:pre_miRNA from 1 species